rnacentral:rRNA from 1 species
ACGGGUGAGUAAUAUAUCGGAACGUGCCCAGUUGUGGGGGAUAGCCCGGCGAAAGCCGGAUUAAUACCGCAUACGACCUGAGGGUGAAAGCGGGGGAUCGCAAGACCUCGCGCAAUUGGAGCGGCCGAUAUCAGAUUAGCUAGUUGGUGGGGUAAAGGCCUACCAAGGCGACGAUCUGUAGCUGGUCUGAGAGGACGACCAGCCACACUGGGACUGAGACACGGCCCAGACUCCUACGGGAGGCAGCAGUGGGGAAUUUUGGACAAUGGGCGCAAGCCUGAUCCAGCCAUGCCGCGUGCGGGAAGAAGGCCUUCGGGUUGUAAACCGCUUUUGUCAGGGAAGAAACGGUCUGAUCUAAUAAAUUGGACUAAUGACGGUACCUGAAGAAUAAGCACCGGCUAACUACGUGCCAGCAGCCGCGGUAAUACGUAGGGUGCAAGCGUUAAUCGGAAUUACUGGGCGUAAAGCGUGCGCAGGCGGCUAUGCAAGACAGAUGUGAAAUCCCCGGGCUCAACCUGGGAACUGCAUUUGUGACUGCAUGGCUAGAGUACGGUAGAGGGGGAUGGAAUUCCGCGUGU